GGUAAGUGACAGCUACGGCAUCACUUCCCGACCAUAUAUGGUCAGCCGUUUUUAUCCUCCUUCGGGGAACACACUUAUAGGUUCGAUAGAACACUGAAUAAUUAAUUUAAAAGGUGGUGUCGGC
rnacentral:ncRNA from 1 species